CAGUGUCUCAAUAAAACAUAAACAGUAAAAUUGUAAUGUCUGUGCGUUAUUUAGUUACAUAGUUUCUCUCUCAUUGUGACUUAGAGGACAAUUAGACCACAUUCAAUUCAUCUAAUCAAGACAGAAUUCCAGAUUUCUGUUGGCGGCAUGGAGAACAUUAUAGAACAGUACUGAGCAAUGUAAGCUGUGAAUACAGCACUGAGAAAUCUCGAGUCCUAAGUGCAAAAUGACUGAGAUGAAGCAGAAAAUGACACCGAUAACAAGGCGCCGAGCGGUUUGUGGCUUCGCAGCUGAUGGUUUCCCCGAACGCGGACGGAAUAAAAAACUAGAGCGCCACAAUUUCUUUCUGUUAUUUGGCCUCUUAGUCCGGGCUAAGAUAUUGUGAUUUCCUGACCUCCCGCAAACACGAGGCCCAGACCGCGGCCGCCAGAUGAGCCCAGAUCUGGCAAUUUGUCACUUUCAAUUUCUCCAGUCAGAAGACGAUCCGCAGAGUAUACGGUCUGAGACGACGCGCAGAGAUUUGUCCUCUUCUAUUUUCAGGAGUCAGGAAAUGGGUUCCUGCAUGUGACAAGCUGUGAAAUAUAGAAGAGUCUACGGAGAGAUGACCUGAAAACACCAGCGCAGAGCACGACCGCCGCCGCCACAGAGGCUCCGUAACAGCCCAGAUACCGGGAUAUUGGAUCUGUAAGGUCACGUAAUACAUUUAUACAUCAGAGAGAAAAUCAGGAGCCUCAGAAGACGGGAUAUAAACCUGGAGACAUCACCGAUGGAUUAUAUAUAGAAUGAAUCAGAGUGUAUAUACAUGAUCAUAAAAUACAUUCAACCCCACAGCUGUACUCACUAUUCUGCUGGUGAGAUCACUGUGUACAUACAUUACUGAUCCUGUACUGAUCCUGAGUUAUAUCCUGUAUUAUACUCCAGAGCUGUACUCACUAUUCUGCUGGUGAGGUCACUGUGUACAUACAUUACAUUACUUAUCCUGUACUGAUCCUGAGUUAUAUC